rnacentral:lncRNA from 1 species
UUGAAGUGGAUGUAUGCAUUGAUGUUGUGAAUUGAAGCAUGUAACUGUGUCUGUUUUUGUUGAUUUUCAUUAACAUGGUUCCAUUUGCCCAAUUAAGCUCAAAUUUGACAUGGUAGACCUUGAUUGACCCCUGUUUAGGUGUAAUUAAUUUGAGAAUUUUUGGAUGUGUUUUGGUAUGGAUUUGAAUGCAAUAAUUCUGUUUGUAUGCUUGGUGCUUCAUUUGAACCAAUGUGCCUUGUUUUGUGCAUGAAUUGAACAUAAUGGAUGAUAUAGACAUGGACACUGAAUGUUUGCUCUUGUUUGACUUUAAUUUGAGUUUUGAUUGUGAAUGCCUUGCUGUUUUAACUUUUUUGUUGCUUUUGGACCCUAGGCUUGGCCUAGUGGUCUAGUUGCUAAUAUUUGCUUGGUUUUCAGGAUCAAAAGCAUAAGG